rnacentral:rRNA from 1 species
UACGGGGGGGGGCAAGCGUUUGUUCGGAAUUACUGGGCGUAAAGGGCUCGUAGGCGGCCAACUAAGUCGGACGUGAAAUCCCCAGGCUCAACCUGGGAACUGCGUCCGAUACUGGAUGGCUUGAAUCCGGGAGAGGGAUGCAGAAUUCCAGGUGUAGCGGUGAAAUGCGUAGAUAUCUGGAGGAAUACCGGUGGCGAAGGCGGCAUCCUGGACCGGCAUUGACGCUGAGGAGCGAAAGCCAGGGGAGCAAACGGG